AGAGUUCUACAAUAGUCUUAGACUUAGAGUUGGGAGUAUUGAGACCACAGUCAAGGGUACCUUAAUCAUGCAUAAUGAGUAGAGAUGUGCCCAAAUCCUAUAGAUGCCAUGAGAGGGGAGGUCUUUUGAUAGAUUGAGUGAUAGAUUGGCUAGCCUCCAAUGUAUUCUGGAGAGAGUGGAGGUGGAUGAGUUGGAGGAG
rnacentral:lncRNA from 1 species